AUUGAACGCUGGCGACAGGCCUAACACAUGCAAGUCGAACGGUAGCACAGAGGAGCUUGCUCCUUGGGUGACGAGUGGCGGACGGGUGAGUAAUGUCUGGGAAACUGCCCGAUGGAGGGGGAUAACUACUGGAAACGGCAGCUAAUACCGCAUAACGUCGCAAGACCAAAGAGGGGGACCUUCGGGCCUCUUGCCAUCGGAUGUGCCCAGAUGGGAUUAGCUAGUAGGUGGGGUAACGGCUCACCUAGGCGACGAUCCCUAGCUGGUCUGAGAGGAUGACCAGCCACACUGGAACUGAGACAGGGUCCAGACCCCUACGGGAGGCAGCAGUGGGGAAUAUUGCACAAUGGGCGCAAGCCUGAUGCAGCCAUGCCGCGUGUAUGAAGAAGGCCUUCGGGUUGUAAAGUACUCUCAGCGGGGAGGAAGGGGUUAAGGUUAAUAACCUUAGCCAUUGACGUUACCCGCAGAAGAAGCACCGGCUAACUCCGUGCCAGCAGCCGCCGUAA
rnacentral:rRNA from 1 species